rnacentral:rRNA from 1 species
GACAAUAUCAAACCUUUUUGUAGUUGCAAUCAGCGUCAGAAAACAAAUAAUAAUUACAACUUUCAACAACGGAUCUCUUGGUUCUGGCAUCGAUGAAGAACGCAGCGAAAUGCGAAAAGUAGUGUGAAUUGCAGAAUUCAGUGAAUCAUCGAAUCUUUGAACGCACAUUGCGCCCCUUGGUAUUCCAUGGGGCAUGCCUGUUCGAGCGUCAUUUUGUACCCUCAAGCGCUGCUUGGUGUUGGGCGUUUGUCCUGCAAAGGACUCGCCUGAAAGCGAUUGGCGGCCAACGUACUGGUGGUAGAGCGCAGCACAAUUUGCGUCUCUCCCCUGCUACGUCGGCGUCCAUGAAGCCCACUUUCAACGUUUGACCUCGGAUCAGGUAGGGAUACCCGCUGAACUUAAGCAUAUCAAUAAGCGGAGGA